rnacentral:rRNA from 1 species
GAAGCCUGAUCCAGCCAUGCCGCGUGUGUGAAGAAGGCCUUUUGGUUGUAAAGCACUUUAAGUGGGGAGGAAAAGCUAAUAAUUAAUACCUAUUAGCCCUGACGUUACCCACAGAAUAAGCACCGGCUAACUCUGUGCCAGCAGCCGCGGUAAUACAGAGGGUGCAAGCGUUAAUCGGAAUUACUGGGCGUAAAGCGAGCGUAGGUGGUUACUUAAGUCAGAUGUGAAAGCCCCGGGCUUAACCUGGGAACUGCAUCUGAUACUGGGUAACUAGAGUAGGUGAGAGGGAAGUAGAAUUCCAGGUGUAGCGGUGAAAUGCGUAGAGAUCUGGAGGAAUACCGAUGGCGAAGGCAGCUUCCUGGCAUCAUACUGACACUGAGGUUCGAAAGCGUGGGUAGCAAACAGGAUUAGAUACCCUGGUAGUCCACGCCGUAAACGAUGUCUACCAGUCGUUGGGUCUUUUAAAGACUUAGUGACGCAGUUAACGCAAUAAGUAGACCGCCUGGGGAGUACGGCCGCAAGGUUAAAACUCAAAUGAAUUGACGGGGGCCCGCACAAGCGGUGGAGCAUGUGGUUUAAUUCGAUGCAACGCGAAGAACCUUACCUGGUCUUGACAUAGUAGGAAUCCUGCAGAGAUGCGGGAGUGCCUUCGGGAAUCUACAUACAGGUGCUGCAUGGCUGUCGUCAGCUCGUGGCGUGAGAUGUUGGGUUAAGUCCCGCAACGAGCGCAACCCUUUUC